rnacentral:rRNA from 1 species
UACGUAGGGAGCAAGCGUUAUCCGGAUUUACUGGGUGUAAAGGGCGCGUAGGCGGGAUGGCAAGUCAGAUGUGAAAUCCAGGGGCUCAACCCCUGAACUGCAUUUGAAACUGUCGUUCUUGAGUACUGGAGAGGUUGACGGAAUUCCUAGUGUAGCGGUGAAAUGCGUAGAUAUUAGGAGGAACACCAGUGGCGAAGGCGGUCAACUGGACAGCAACUGACGCUGAAGCACGAAAGCGUGGGUAUCGAACAGG